AGGGAUCAUUACAGAGUUAUACAACUCCCACACCAU
rnacentral:rRNA from 1 species